rnacentral:rRNA from 1 species
AUUGAACGCUGGCGGCAGGCCUAACACAUGCAAGUCGAGCGGAUGAGGGGUGCUUGCACCCCGAUUCAGCGGCGGACGGGUGAGUAAUGCCUAGGAAUCUGCCCGAUAGUGGGAGACAACGUUUCGAAAGGAACGCUAAUACCGCAUACGUCCUACGGGAGAAAGUGGGGGCUCUUCGGACCUCACGCUAUCGGAUGAGCCUAGGUCGGUUUAGCUAGUUGGUGGGGUAAAGGCUCACCAAGGCGACGAUCCGUAACUGGUCUGAGAGGAUGAUCAGUCACACAUGAACUGAGCCACGGUCCAGACUCCUACGGGAGGCACCAGUGGGGAAUUUUGGACAAUGGUCGAAAGCCUGAGCCAGCCAUGCGGGGUGUGUGAAGAAGGUCUUCGGAUUGUAAAGCACUUUAAGUCGGGAGGAAGGGCUGCAGGUUAAUACCUUGCAGCCUUGACGUUACCGACAGAAUAAGCACCGGCUAACUUCGUGCCAGCAGCCGCAGUAAAAC